GCGGACGGCUCAGUAACACGUGGCUAACCUACCCUCGGGUGGGGGAUAACCUCGGGAAACUGAGGGUAAUACCCCAUAGGAGAAGAGGUCUGGAAUGAUCCUUCUCUGAAAACAUAUGUGCCCGAGGAUGGGGCUGCGUCUGAUUAGGUAGUUGGUGGGGUAACGGCCCACCAAGCCUACGAUCAGUACGGGCCUUGAGAGAGGCAGCCCGGAGAUGGGGACUGAGACACGGCCCCAGGCCCUACGGGGCGCAGCAGGCGCGAAACCUCCGCAAUGCACGAAAGUGCGACGGGGGGACCCCAAGUGCUUACGCACUGCGUAGGCUUUUCUAAAGUGUAAAAAGCUUUAGGAAUAAGGGCUGGGCAAGUCCGGUGCCAGCAGCCGCGGUAACACCGGCGGCCCGAGUGGUGACCACUUUUAUUGGGCCUAAAGCGUCCGUAGCCGGUCCAGUAAGUCCCUGUUUAAAUCCUACGGCUUAACCGUAGGGCUGGCAGGGAUACUGCUGGACUUGGGACCGGGAGAGGGCGAGGGUACUUCAGGGGUAGCGGUGAAAUGUGUUGAUCCCUGGAGGACCACCUAUGGCGAAGGCACUCGCCUGGAACGGGUCCGACGGUGAGGGACGAAAGCCAGGGGCGCGAACCGGAUUAGAUACCCGGGUAGUCCUGGCCGUAAACUCUGCGGACUAGGUGUUAGGUAGGCCCCGUGCCUAUCUAGUGCCGAAGGGAAGCCGUUAAGUCCGCCGCCUGGGGAGUACGGU
rnacentral:rRNA from 1 species